rnacentral:lncRNA from 1 species
AAGAGGCUGUAGAAUUAUUUUAUAAAUUAUCAAGUCUUAUGAGCCAGGUGCAGUGGUGCAUGCCUAUGUACAGUCCCAGCUACUCAGGAGGCUGAGGUGGUAGGAUAGCUUGAGCCCAGGAGUUCGAGGGUGGAGUGUGAUAUGAUCGUCUGUGAAUAGCCACAGCACUGCAUCCUGGACAAGAUAGGGUCUCUUUAAAAAUAAGACUUAACUAGCACUUUAAUAAUCAUUGUUUUUGUUCCCAACUGCAUUGUACAUUCAUUGAGGACAGGGACUUUAAACUUCAUUAUAUUGCUGUUGCUGUGUUUCACCUUUGAAUGAUUUUUAAAUAAAAAUCUCAUCUUUGAGUCACAAUCUGAUGUAACCUUGUCCAUUUCUGUCCUCUUG